AUAUUUUACAAUGGGGGGAACCCUGAUCCAGCCCUCCCGCGUGUGUGAUGAAGGCCUUNGGGGUUNANAGAACUUUUGGCAGAGGNGGAAAAGUAUCUCCUAAUACGAGAUACUGCUGGCGUUAUCUGCAGCAUAAGCACCGGCUAACUACGUGCCAGCAGCCGCGGUAAUACGUAGGGUGCUAGCGUUAAUCGGAAUUACUGGGCGUAAAGCGCACGUAGGCGGACUUGAUAGAAAGGUGUGAAAUCCCAGGGCUCAACCCUGGAACUGCACUUGAAACUGCAAGUCUUGAGUCCGAGAGAGGUGAGUAGAAUUCCUAGUGUAGAAGUGAAAUUCGUAGAUAUUAGGAAGAACACCAAUGGCGAAGGCAGCUCACUGGGACAAUACUGACGCUGAGAUGCGAAAGCGUGGGGAGCAAACAGG
rnacentral:rRNA from 1 species